CUAAGGCUAAAUACGACCACGAGACCGAUAGCGAACAAGUACCGUGAGGGAAAGUUGAAAAGCACUUUGAAGAGAGAGUUCAAGAGUACGUGAAACCGUUUAGGGGUAAACCUGAGAAACCCGAAAGGUCGAAGGGAGAAAUUCAUUCGCGUUUCGAGGCGGGCGUUCGACGGUCGAGCGACGGGAAUUGACGACGUUCGCGUCUCUAGACCCGCGCCUUUCGCCUUACGAACCCGCCACGAACGCGUGCACUUUUCUCCCGGUAGGACGUCGCGAUCCGUCGGGCGUCGGUCUACGGUUCGCGGUGGAGCCCGUCAGUCGUCGUUAUUUCGCGACGUACGGACGGACCCGCGUACUUCCCGGCCGACCCGCUCGACGGUAUACGAAAGGUUCGAGGCCGCUCUCCUAGGAGCGUCCGGCUCGCGGCAAGCGCGUCAGCCGCGUCGGCGAUCGGACCCAGUGCCGAUUCCGACCUCUGGCGACUGUUGGCCGCGACGUUCUCGGACAGACCUUAGGACCGAUCCGCGACGCUAUAGCUUUGGGUACUUUCAGGACCCGUCUUGAAACACGGACCAAGGAGUCUAGCAUGUGCGCGAGUCAUUGGGAAUCGUUAAACCUAAAGGCGCAAUGAAAGUGAAGGUCUUCCUCGCGAAGACCGAGGGAAGACGGGCGGUUCGCCCUUAAAAGCGACCGCUCCGCAUUCCCGGGGCGUCUCGUUCUCAUCGCGAGAAGAGGCGCACCAAGAGCGUACACGCUGGGACCCGAAAGAUGGUGAACUAUG
rnacentral:rRNA from 1 species